AGUCACUUUCCUGUCACUCUACUGGGAGACACGCCCACUUCCUGAAGCUUCCUCCACCUGAGGAUAAUUACCAAUCAACCUCACUAGUGUGUCUCUUUGUGCUGACUGCUUGCUCCUCUGCCUGCUGCAUGCCUUUGCUGUGUCUAUGACUUUAUACCAGCAUUAUGCAUCAAUUGUAAAACCAACAUUGAGAAAGCAAACAACAAGGAAAGAAGCAAAUGGCAAUAAAGAUCAAAAUUGAGAAGUAAUUCCUGGACUCAUUCCUGUGUUCUUAUCGACACACCAUUCUGUGAUUUUUAGGGAAUGAGGGAUGAAUAAUCCUCGCAGCAUUCCACAUAAAUGUGCCGCUCGCCCGCCC